rnacentral:rRNA from 1 species
AUUGAACGCUGGCGGCAUGCCUUACACAUGCAAGUCGAACGGUAACAGGUCUUCGGAUGCUGACGAGUGGCGAACGGGUGAGUAAUACAUCGGAACGUGCCUAGUAGUGGGGGAUAACUACUCGAAAGAGUGGCUAAUACCGCAUGAGAUCUACGGAUGAAAGCAGGGGAUCGCAAGACCUUGUGCUACUAGAGCGGCCGAUGGCAGAUUAGGUAGUUGGUGGGAUAAAAGCUUACCAAGCCGACGAUCUGUAGCUGGUCUGAGAGGACGAUCAGCCACACUGGGACUGAGACACGGCCCAGACUCCUACGGGAGGCAGCAGUGGGGAAUUUUGGACAAUGGGCGCAAGCCUGAUCCAGCAAUGCCGCGUGCAGGAUGAAGGCCUUCGGGUUGUAAACUGCUUUUGUACGGAACGAAAAGUCCUGGGUUAAUACCCUGGGGUCAUGACGGUACCGUAAGAAUAAGCACCGGCUAACUACGUGCCAGCCGCCGCUGUAAUAC